CGCUGGCGGCACGCCUAACACAUGCAAGUCGAACGAAGUAGCAAUACUUAGUGGCAGACGGGUGAGUAACAUGUAGGUAUCUACCCUUUGGCCUGGAAUAACACGAGGAAACUUGUGCUAAUACCGGAUAAGUCUUUACGGAGAAAGCUUUAUGCACCAUUGGAUGAGCCUGCACUUGAUUAGUUUGUUGGUGGGGUAAUGGCCUACCAAGACUGUGAUCAAUAGCUGAUUUGAGAGGAUGAUCAGCCACAUUGGGACUGAGACACGGCCCAAACUCCUACGGGAGGCAGCAGUGGGGAAUCUUGCACAAUGGAGGAAACUCUGAUGCAGCGAUGCCGCGUGAGUGAAGAAGGCCCUUGGGUUGUAAAGCUCUUUCGUCGGGGAAGAAAAUGACUGUACCCGAAUAAGAAGGUCCGGCUAACUUCGUGCCAGCAGCCGCGGUAAUACGAAGGGACCUAGCGUAGUUCGGAAUUACUGGGCUUAAAGAGUUCGUAGGUGGUUGAAAAAGUUGGUGGUGAAAUCCCAGAGCUUAACUCUGGAACUGCCAUCAAAACUUUUCAGCUAGAGUAUGAUAGAGGAAAGCAGAAUUUCUAGUGUAGAGGUGAAAUUCGUAGAUAUUAGAAAGAAUACCAAUUGCGAAGGCAGCUUUCUGGAUCAUUACUGACACUGAGGAACGAAAGCAUGGGUAGCGAAGAGGAUUAGAUACCCUCGUAGUCCAUGCCGUAAACGAUGUGUGUUAGACGUUGGAAAUUUAUUUUCAGUGUCGCAGCGAAAGCGAUAAACACACCGCCUGGGGAGUACGACCGC
rnacentral:rRNA from 1 species